rnacentral:rRNA from 1 species
GAUGAACGCUGGCGGCGUGCUUAACACAUGCAAGUCGAACGAAGCACUUUACCUUGAUUCCUUCGGGUUGAUUGGUACUGUGACUGAGUGGCGGACGGGUGAGUAACGCGUGGGGAACCUGCCCCAUACAGGGGGAUAACAGAUAGAAAUGUCUGCUAAUACCGCAUAAGACCACAGCACCGCAUGGUGCAGGGGUAAAAACUCCGGUGGUAUGGGAUGGACCCGCGUCUGAUUAGCUGGUUGGUGAGGUAACGGCUCACCAAGGCGACGAUCAGUAGCCGACCUGAGAGGGUGACCGGCCACAUUGGGACUGAGACACGGCCCAA